rnacentral:rRNA from 1 species
AGCGAACGCUGGCGGCAGGCUUAACACAUGCAAGUCGAGCGGACCUUUCGGGGUCAGCGGCGGACGGGUGAGUAACGCGUGGGAACGUGCCUUCCGGUUCGGAAUAACCCUGGGAAACUAGGGCUAAUACCGGAUACGCCCUUAUGGGGAAAGGUUUACUGCCGGAAGAUCGGCCCGCGUCUGAUUAGCUAGUUGGUGGGGUAACGGCCUACCAAGGCGACGAUCAGUAGCUGGUCUGAGAGGAUGAUCAGCCACACUGGGACUGAGACACGGCCCAGACUCCUACGGGAGGCAGCAGUGGGGAAUAUUGGACAAUGGGCGCAAGCCUGAUCCAGCCAUGACGCGUGAGUGAUGAAGGCCUUAGGGUUGUAAAGCUCUUUUAUCCGGGACGAUAAUGACGGUACCGGAGGAAUAAGCCCCGGCUAACUUCGUG